rnacentral:tRNA from 1 species
GGCGAGGUUCCCGAGCGGUCAAAGGGGGCAGACUGUAAAUCUGUUGGCUCAGCCUUCGAUGGUUCGAAUCCAUCUCUCGCCACCA